AUCUUUGGGAUUGUACAGUUCUCAUCCUAUUACCGGUGUUAAUUUUCUACUAUUUGACGAAAUAUAUUACUGCUACCAGCAGUGUAAGGGAAAUUGUUUAUUGUCUCUAAUACAUCCUUGGUGAUAAGAAUUUGAAAGAGUAAAAAUCUUCUUCCUUCACUCUUAUUUUGCUGUAAUUGUUAUGGAUGCUUUGUAAAAUGCUUCCUGUUGUCUCAGCACUGGAUUUAGAGGGCUAAAACACCGUCUUGCUCUCUGAGUGCCUUCACACACGUAGGAGCAGAAACUGCUGUGCAUGUAGUUAUCGUCUAAGUGGUGAAACGACUGCGGCAUCACGCAGCCAAGGUCUCAGGCUUGCCUGAAGUGCAGAAGUGCCUUACCAGUGCAAGUUGCCCUGCCUUCACCCUUCUGCCUGCAUGGGGGAGGCUGCGCACACCGACACUUGCUCAUUGCAUUGUGCCAUGGUGGACCUGGAUCCCUGUCUCGUGCAGGAUGUGCAUCUCUGUCCUGAGCAGACUUGCCAGGUGGAUCAUUGCCCAUGUCAAGGGGCAGCCGCCUGCCUGGAUUCUUAUCCUCAAAUUGGGUCCACCUGCCCACCUUUUGCUGUCCCUGUGCCUGGGGAUGCCUGCACACCUCCAUGCGUCAUCAGCUGCAUGGGCACUUGUGUGAACCCAGCAGCAAACCCUUGUGAGACCCACCAAAGCAAGGGAGGCACCAGUUUCCAGCUCACAGAUUCUCCAGUGGAGCUCUGCACCCCUGAGACAGCUGAGACCUGCGUGGAAAACUUCCCCCUUCAGCAUGCGAUCUCGCUAGUGGAUCCCUGCAUCCCUGAUGAGGCUGGGAUAUGUGUGGAGACCUCCCCCCUCCAGCAAACAAUCUUGCCAGUGGAACCUUGCAUCCCCAAGAAAGUUGGGACCUACCUGGGAAACUUACCUUUGCAGCACCCAAUCUCAACUGCGGAAACCUGCACCGUCGAGGUGCUUGAGACCUGCACAGAGACCUUGCCCCUUGACUGUACAGCCUUGACCAACAAGUCCUGCUGUCCUCAAGGUGUGAACAUUGGAGAUCCCUGCCCUGACCAGUGCUUGGUGACAUAUGUGGAUCCCUGCAUAUCCCAAGGUGUGAUUUGUGCAGAGCCAUGCCCGCCCCAGAGCGAUACAGAGUCCAUGGACACGUGCCCAUCCCAGAGCACCAUGGGACCUGUGGACACCAGCUCUACCAAGGGCAGGACCAGGGGUGCCGGCACCCCCCUGUACAUGCAAGCACCUCUCUGCCUGAACACCCGCACCUCCACCAUCAUGGGGCGGUGCCUUCACAAGUGUCAAAUGUGGCUGCAAGGCAAGAAGUAAGUGACGUGAGAGGGCAUACAGUAAAGAGGCUUCUCUGCAUAAACAAGAUCUCCUCUAGUGAGUUUCUUGGUUUCUCAUGUGUAUCAACAAGAAAUAAUAUUGCUUCAUGUUGAAUUAAAAAUGCUUUUCAAUCAUCUGUUAAUUAUGGCCCUUAUUUUUAUUGCCUAAUGUUAACUGCAAUAAUAAUGGCAAAAGUGCAAUGCAAGUAUUAUUUGCAUUCACAGAGACCCAUUUCAUCAUCUUCAACCUUUUUACUUCCCACAUAUAAAUAACUACUUUCACAGUCGGUUUUAAAUUCAGCUCUGAUUUUACUUGGGGUUUUGGUCUUUUAGGUUUAAAUUAAUACAAGAAUAUUGAGAAAAGUAGCUCAAAGACAAAGACAAGUGUCUUUUAGGGAGACACAACAUGAUAGAUGCCAUUUAGGGUGAAGAAAGAGCGAACACUGAAUAUAAAGAAGUUGCAGAAAACACCAGAAGAGUAAUGUUGAGAAAUUAGAGUUUUGUUGCACAAUGUCCAGCUGAAGACUGGGUAAAACUCCGUAUAAUUAAAAGGUUUUGUUACAUAACAGCUUCCCCCAGAAACAGAGCUAUAUAUCUAAAUAUUAACAGCAAUUUGAUGAAGUAGAUGAAUAAAGUUUUUUUUUUUAAAGUUAUAGAAAGGCCAGGGGAGAAGGAUAGGGCAAUUAUUCCUGCAGCUGCCUGCCAUGUAAUUGAUAUAUCAUCUAUCUGACAUUUCUUGCAUAGUAGCCCUAUCAGAUUUGGUGCUGGCACCCAGGGCUCGCUGUUCUCCUGGUAACACCUGGUCAGGAGCUGCUGUUUGCUGGUACAGCAUUUUGCUUCUGUUGCAAGGAGAUCCCACUCCAGCUCAGGACAGCCUGAAAAAAGAACGCUGAGAACCAGCCUCUGUACCUGUAAACAGCUGCUCAAUGAAAGCCAUUUUUAUUGGAUUAUGGUACAUUGUUUGCCGGGUCUUUAAUGUCCUCUGUUAGAAAGGAUUUUUCUGUCUCUGUAAACAAAUCAAAUAAAACGUGUCUAUGUGUUUGUUAGCACUCUGUGUGUAUUUGCAAAGAGAUGAAAGAAGUUCUUAUGCUGUAGCAGUAGUUGCAGUUUAUUGGAUUGAGGGAAUAAAUUUUAAGGAAUCUGAAAAGUGAGAA